rnacentral:lncRNA from 1 species
ACUUCUGAGCAGUUUCUCCAAUUCUCCAACAUCCUUUCUAUCUUCAGGGUAGGAAAUGGGCAGACACAUAGAUAGGAUUUGGGACUGGGCAAUCUCCACGGUUCAGGAAUAUCCAUCUUGGGAGGCUCUGUAAAACGUGGGCAAUGCCUUCUUCUUUGUCUUAGUUUUAUGAUGGACAGAGAUCACCUCUUGUGUACCUGAAACAUCACUCAAACUCCAGCAAGAAUCAGACCACACACACUAGGAUCAGCCCUUGAUAAUUCACCAAGUCUGAUCCCAAUGUUUUAAAAAGAAAUAUGCAAUGAACAGAAUCUAAACAACUCAUUCAGUUCAACUCCAUGCAUACUAACAUCACUAACUGCUCAGGUAUGAUAACUCAUCAAUAACAAGGCAAUUAGGCUCUUUUUAUGAAUUUUAAAGACAAUAAACAGAGACUAAACAACUCAUCUAAUCAUCUUGAACAAUAUAUAUAAUGCAAUACAAGAUCAGGAGGCUCUCCUAGACCUUUAUCAAUGCAACAAGACAAUGACAGUAGCUAACCAAUCGCCUAGCACAAUACAAACAGAAACAAUUAAUCUAGGACAGGAACUAAACAAUACCAUGCUAGACAACUCCUAGAAAUAAUUUAAGAAACAGAGCAACACACACAAUUUAAGUAUCAUGGGACAGAAACUAGGUUCAACAACUCUAGCAACUUGAACCUGUCCCAAGGAUACCAA